rnacentral:rRNA from 1 species
GACGUAGGGGGCCAGCGUUGUUCGGAAUUACUGGGUGUAAAGGGUUCGUAGGCGGUGCGGCAAGUCGGGAGUGAAAUCUCUGGGCUUAACCCAGAGGCUGCUUCCGAAACUGCUGUGCUUGAGUGUGGGAGAGGCGCGUGGAAUUGCAGGUGUAGCGGUGAAAUGCGUAGAUAUCUGCAGGAACACCCGUGGCGAAGGCGGCAUCCUGGACCGGCAUUGACGCUGAGGCGCGAAAGCCAGGGGAGCAAACAGG